rnacentral:rRNA from 1 species
AUUGAACGCUGGCGGCAGGCUUAACACAUGCAAGUCGAACGAGUGGCGGACGGGUGCGUAAUGCUUGGGAAUCUCGCUUAUGGAGGGGGAUAACUACUGGAAACUGUAGCUAAUACCGCGUACCAUAGGAUGAGCCCAAGUGGGAUUAGGUAGUUGGUGAGGUAAAGGCUCACCAAGCCGACGAUCUCUAGCUGGUCUGAGAGGAUGCCCAGCCACAGUGGGACUGAGACACGGCCCAGACUCCUAAGGGAGGCAGAAGGGGGGAAUAUUGCGCAAUGGGGGCAACCCGGACGCAGCCAUGCCGCGUGUAUGAAGAAGGCCUGCGGGGUGUAAAGUACUUUCAGCGGGGAGGCGUUACCCGCAGAAGAAGCACCGGAUAACUCCGUGCCAGCCGCCGCGGUAAUAC